AUUGUAGGCUGAAACUCGCCUAUAUGAAGUCGGAAGUUGCUAGUAAUCGCGGAUCAGCAUGCCGCGGUGAAUACGUUCCCGGGCCUUGUACACACCGCCCGUCACACCAUGAGAGUCGAUAACACCCGAAGCCUGUAGUCUAACCUUAGGGGGGACGCAGUCGAAGGUGGGAUUGAUAAUUAGGGGUGAAGUCGUAACAAGGUACC
rnacentral:rRNA from 1 species